UCUAAUGCUAAAACUUGCCCUAUGUUCUUGAGAGACCCUGAAGCCUACUUUGAAGAGGCUCGUCUUUGCAAUCGUGCCUGAUUGAACAUUACCAGUAAAUACAGAAGUGUGGAGCCAGACUGGUACAGAGCAGUACAAGGAUAAGACAGAAGAUCUUUGUGUUGCUGGGUCUCUGCACCAUCAGCUGGGAUUGAACAAAGAGAUGGCAUGGCUUUUCUCUCGGAACAGGGUGUGUGCACACCGAAAAGCACUGAGGAGGAACUGAGGCCUUGGCUGAUCCAGGAGGGUGCCCAGAGCAGCUCUGCAAGCGAGGUUAGUGCCUUCACUCCUCUGUCAUCACCAGUCCCUGAGAGCAAUCACCACCCACCAACAGUUCCUCGAGAUAAGACCGAGCCAGCUGGGAGAAGAAAGCCUUUGAUAUUUCCCUGCCUUGCUGACUGCAUUUCUCACAGCUCACAUCUCGGAGUGGACCAGCAGAGGUGACUGGGCAUAUAAGAAUAACACUGACGGGAAGUCAAAACAGGGGCCUCCAGAGCCAGCGUAAAUCAGAAGAUAAGGAGGCUUCAAGGCUACAACCGUCAACAGCACCUGCAACUUGACAAGAUAACAAACAGCCUGUCUGGAGACAGUGAAGGAAUCCAGUAAGGAGUCAGAAGGUGUCAGUCCAGAAUCACUAUUGGACCAAAGGGCGCGUGGAAGAUGCGUGAAGAGAGUGAAGAAUGCGUGAGGGGCGGGUGAAUAGGCUGUAAGGGUAUAAUUCCCCAGGGAUUUCUUUGUUCGGGUUCUUCCGUCCUUCCUUCCUUCCGUCCUUUCUUCCUUCCUCUCCUUCUCCUACCCCCCCCUGCCCCCUCUUCAGGGGCACCCAGCUGGAGCUGACCCUGCUGCUGUACCCCUCUAUUAAAUUAUUUAUUUUUAUAAGA